rnacentral:snRNA from 1 species
UUAAAGGGUUACGCAUAUUCC